CCUACGGGGUGCACCAGUGGGGAAUAUUGCACAAUGGGCGCAAGCCUGAUGCAGCCAUGCCGCGUGUAUGAAGAAGGCCUUCGGGUUGUAAAGUACUUUCAGCGGGGAGGAAGGUGUUGUGGUUAAAAACCACAGCAAUUGACGUUACCCGCGGAAGAAGCACCGGCUAACUCCGUGCCAGCAGCCGCGGUAAUACGGCGGGUGCAAGCGUUAAUCGGAAUUACUGGGCGUAAAGCGCACGCAUGCGGUCUGUUAAGUCGGAUGUGAAAUCCCCGGGCUCAACCUGGGAACUGCAUUCGAAACUGGCAGGCUAGAGUCUUGUAGAGGGGGGUAGAAUGCCAGGUGUAGCGGUGAAAUGCGUAGAGAUCUGGAGGAAUACCGGUGGCGAAGGCGGCCCCCUGGACAAAGACUGACGCUCAGGUGCGAAAGCGUGGGGAGCAAACAGGAUUAGAUACCCUUGUAGUC
rnacentral:rRNA from 1 species